GUGUAGCCAAGCCUUGCCCGGGGUCCUCACUUCUUUUCACCCCCAUUCUAGACAUGAAGAAGAGUUGGAUCAAAAGACGCUCUCAGAAAUCAGGACACUCACGGAGGGUCUUCGGACGUUUUACUCAUGCGAAGUAUUCCGCUCCUGCAGGAAACACAGCUAUG